GCCCUUCGGCUUCUGGGUGGACAGAUCUUCUGCUCUAUCCAGGCACGUUCACUCAGUGCCACAUCUACGAGACAAAAGUCACUGUGUAUUCCUGCUUUAAAAAGUAGGAAUACACAUUGCUGCUUUAUAACUAGCGGCUUCAUUUAGGCGCCAGGCAAGAACGUUCCUCUUCAACCAGGCCGUCGGCUGAUUAGCAUCCCAUACCCUUUUAUUUUUUAUUUUUAAAUAUAGUUUUCUUUUUUUAUAAAACUUUUCAAACAUUACAUUGACAAACCAACAAUCUAGUCUUUGCUCUUCCGAGUGGAGGACUUCCCACCAUCCAUCUGGUUUUCUUUGAUCAAAUACAUACAGUAAUUACUCUUGCACUUUAAAUUAUAGUUUUCUGAUCUUAAUAAAUUUAGCGUCGUCUCUUUUUCUCUGAUCAUGAAACAUUCCUCAGCUGAUGGGUGCGGGAUUUAUUUCAGUCCUGCUAAUGUCUUCAAAUUUUUGCAAUGAUCAUUCAUAUAACAAAUAAAUUUACUCCAGUCUCUUUGAAACUUUUGGUCCCUGCAGUCCCGGAUUCUACUGGUCAGCUUGGUCAUCUCCAAAUACUGUAGUCCAUUAUCUUCAUCUACCACUCCUCGAUUAUUGAUUGCAUUUUUACGUCGUGAAGCACCCCGAGAUCUCUAGAUGAAAGGCAGCAUAUGAAUUUUAAUAUUAUUACAGUCGCACCUCGGUUCUCGAACGCCUUGGUACUCAUACGUUUUGGCUCCUGAACGCCGCAAACCCAGAAUUUCUGUGCAAGAAGUCUGAAGCCAUCAUGAAGAUGAUGGAGAAUAUGGAACCGGCUGAGAUGACCGGGAGAAUUCGCGACCGGGGAGAAUAAGUGACAGAAGAAGAGUGGAAAGAUUUCAAAAUUUAUUUAAAAAAAUAUGCUAAAAUUGUAUAUUAAGAUUAGAUUUAGAAGUGUAUAGAAACUGUGGAUUUGGGAAUUAUGUGAAGUAAAUAGAUAUACGAGAGAUUUGAAAUUGUAAGGAAUUUUUAAAAAUGAAUUGGAAAUUGCUAAAGAUAAAGGAGAAAUGAACCGCAGGUGGAGGGAACUCAAGGAAGUCCCUUUAUACAAUGUUAAAAGAAAAGGAUUGUGUAUUUGGAUUUUUGUGUUUCCUUUUUAUUGUUAUGUUAUUGUGUUCUGGUUCGCCAGAAGCGGCUUUGUCAUGCUGGCCACAUGACCGGAAGCUGUACGCCGACUCCCUCGGCCAAUAACGUGAGAUGAGCGCGCAACCCGAGUCGGUCACGACUGGACCUAAUGGUCAGGGGUCCCUUUUUUACCUUUAAAUAGACAUUCAAUGUUUUUUGUUGGCAUCCAUCUGUCUUGGGCGACAGUGAAAGAGUCGGCUUUGGGGUGAAGUCAAACCGCUGGAGAGUUACAGCGCCUGCUGUGGCUGUAGAGACAGAUAUGGAAGAGGCAUGUUUUGUUGCAGCUGGGGCAGAUGAAGGCUUCCAGCUGUGCUGCUGAUGGACCAGCAUUUCUUCUCUGCAAUCCUUCCAGCGAUCAUUCCUCCUCUGGUCACUGCUAUGGAUGCACAACCUGAUUGUAUGGCUCAGGCAUUGGGUGUAUGUGCAUUCCAGCCCCGCACCCACCCACAAAAUUUUUUAACUUUAAAAAGGUAAGGGAACUCAGUUCCCCUGAGUUCCUGCUAAAAAACAAAAACAAAACCCUGGUUUUGGCCUAGAAAGAGCAGUGUUAGAAACAGAUAUGAAACCUAGGAGCUAAAUGGCAACUUAAACCUAGAUUAUGGGUGCCGUAAUGGAGUGUUUAGGUGCGUUUUUUUUAAUAGUCAACCCUCAGUUCUCGAACGGCUCCAUUUUCGAACCUUUUGGCUCCUGAACGCCGAAAACCCAGAAGUAACAGCUCCGGUUUUCGAACGAUUUUUGGAAGCCGAAUGUGCUAAGUGGCUUCCGUUUUGAGUUUUGUGUUGAGGCUUCUGCUUUCAGUUUUUGGUUGUCGAACGUUUUGGAAGUCAAAGGGUCUUCCGGAACCGAUUACGUUCGACAACUGAGGUUUGACUGUAUAACAAGAAUACAAAGCUGAAAAUGAAUGAACUGCAGCUAAAAUCUUAUGUUCAUUUUUUCCACAUGGUCUAGUCCUCAUCUUAAGACUGCAAAAAGUAAAUUCGUACUUCCCCUGCCUGCCCCCAAUGAGGGUCCCUUCUCCAGUCUUCAGAGAGUGGCUGGAAGUUAGGAGUUGGAAAAAGCUCCUCCUUUCCUCCCAGCAGUGGCAGUUUAAAUCUGAAAUCUUAGGUGCAGUACUGUGCCCAGAGCACAAAAACUGCUUGCUUUAAUGAAAUUCCAUGUCGCAGGGAUUUUAGAUUUUGAUUUAUGUGGAAAUUCUUUUCCAUUCGGUUGUGUAUUUUUUGAUGUGGUUUAUGUAUUGUUUGCGACUUUUGUAAUUGUGCUAUUGCUGUAUUGUUUUAAUAUUCAAUUGGGAGCCGCCCAGAGUGGCUGGGGAGACUCAGCCAGAUGGGCGGGGUACAAAUAAAAAAUUAUUAUUAUUAUUAUUCCAAGGUGCAUCUGGUGUGGGUGCAGAGAAAGGGCUUCCCUGCUGUGACACCCACCAAGUGGAAGACUCUGCUCAGAUCAGGCGGGCUCUGACGUGAGGAUGUUUCUGUCACAAACGGAAGCCUCUCUCUCCACACCCAGGUGUUUCUUGACGGUACUGACUGUCUUGUUUACUGGGCUGUUCCUUCUGCCACUUCGUUCCUCCCCCCCCCCAAAAAAAUGCCAGUGGGUGUUGCAUUAUUUUAAUAUCUUGCAACCAGCUUUUUUUCCCCUAGAAAUGAAAAGCAAUACAGUAAUUUGUAGUAAGCAUUGUCUGCACAGUGGCAAAACCGCAUUGGGUUCAAGGGGACUUACUCUCAGGUAAGUGUGCAUGGCAGGAGAUGUUUUCCAGCAGGCAGGCUAGAUCAGGGGUAGGCAACCUCAGGCCCGUGGGCAGGAUGCGGCCCAAUCGCCUUCUCAAUCCGGCCCACGGACGGUCCAGGAAUCAGCGUGUUUUUACAUGAGUAGAACGUGUCAUUUUAUUUAAAAUGCACC